rnacentral:rRNA from 1 species
CCUAGCAUGAAGUCAGACAAGUGAACCCGCGGAAUUUAAGCAUAUCAAU